rnacentral:rRNA from 1 species
AAUGAACGUUGGCGGCGUGGAUUAGGCAUGCAAGUCGUACGCACAGCUUCGGCUGUGAGUGGCGCAAGGGUGAGUAAUGCGAAGGUAACCAACCCUGGUGUUGGGCAUAACCGCGGGAAACUGCGGGUAAUUCCCAGCGACGUCGCGAGAUGGCAUCAUCUUGCGACCAAAGGUGUGAUUCCGCUCUAGGACGGGCCUUCGUGGUAUUAGGUAGUUGGUGAGGUAACGGCUCACCAAGCCGACGAUGCCUACCGGGUGUGAGAGCAUGACCCGGCACACUGGAACUGAGACACUGUCCAGACACCUACGGGUGGCUGCAGUCGAGAAUCUUCGGCAAUGGGCGAAAGCCUGACCGAGCGACGCCGCGUGAGGGAAGAAGGCCUCGGUUGUAACUCUUCGUAGAGGAGA